GAUGAACGCUGGCGGCGUGCCUAAUACAUGCAAGUCGAGCGAACGGACGAGAAGCUUGCUUCUCUGAUGUUAGCGGCGGACGGGUGAGUAACACGUGGAUAACCUACCUAUAAGACUGGGAUAACUUCGGGAAACCGUAGCUAAUACCGGAUAAUAUUUUGAACCGCAUGGUUCAAAAGUGAAAGACGGUCUUGCUGUCACUUAUAGAUGGAUCCGCGCUGCAUUAGCUAGUUGGUAAGGUAACGGCUUACCAAGGCAACGAUGCAUAGCCGACCUGAGAGGGUGAUCGGCCAAACUGGAACUGAGACACGGUCCAGACUCCUACGGGAGGCAGCAGUAGGGAAUCUUACGCAAUGGGCGAAAGCCUGACGGAGCAACGCCGCGUGAGUGAUGAAGGUCUUCGGAUCGUAAAACUCUGUUAUUAGGGAAGAACAUAUGUGUAAGUAACUGUGCACAUCUUGACGGUACCUAAUCAGAAAGCCACGGCUAACUACGUG
rnacentral:rRNA from 1 species